UACGGAGGGUGCAAGCGUUUAUCCGGAUUCACUGGGUUUAAAGGGUGCGUAGGUGGGCAAGUAAGUCAGUGGUGAAAUCCCCGGGCUUAACCUGGGAACUGCAGUCGAGACUGUCUAGCUAGAGUAUGGGAGAGGGAAGUGGAAUUUCAGGUGUAGCGGUGAAAUGCGUAGAUAUCUGGAGGAACACCGGUGGCGAAGGCGGCAUCCUGGACCGGCAUUGACGCUGAGGCGCGAAAGCCAGGGGAGCAAACGGG
rnacentral:rRNA from 1 species